CCUACGGGAGGCAGCAGUGGGGAAUAUUGCACAAUGGGGGAAACCCUGAUGCAGCGACGCCGCGUGAGUGAAGAAGUAAUUCGUUAUGUAAAGCUCUAUCAGCAGGGAAGAAAAUGACGGUACCUGAGUAAGAAGCCCCGGCUAACUACGUGCCAGCAGCCGCGGUAAUAAGUAGGGGGCAAGCGUUAUCCGGAUUUACUGGGUGUAAAGGGAGCGUAGACGGCAGUGCAAGUCUGGAGUGAAAGGCGGGGGCUCAACCCCCGGACUGCUCUGGAAACUGUACGGCUGGAGUGCAGGAGAGGUAAGUGGAAUUCCUAGUGUAGCGGUGAAAUGCGUAGAUAUUAGGAGGAACACCAGUGGCGAAGGCGGCUUACUGGACUGUAACUGACGUUGAGGCUCGAAAGCGUGGGGAGCAAACAGGAUUAGAUACCCUAGUAGUC
rnacentral:rRNA from 1 species